rnacentral:tRNA from 2 species
CGGUGUGUAGCGCAGCCUGGUAGCGCACUUGCUUCGGGAGCAAGGGGUCGGAGGUUCAAAUCCUCUCACACCGACCA